rnacentral:rRNA from 1 species
UACGUAGGGUGCGAGCGUUGUCCGGAAUUACUGGGCGUAAAGAGCUCGUAGGUGGUUUGUCGCGUUGUUCGUGAAAUCUCACGGCUUAACUGUGAGCGUGCGGGCGAUACGGGCAGACUUGAGUACUGCAGGGGAGACUGGAAUUCCUGGUGUAGCGGUGAAAUGCGCAGAUAUCAGGAGGAACACCGGUGGCGAAGGCGGGUCUCUGGGCCGAUACUGACGCUGAGGAGCGAAAGCGUGGGGAGCGAACAGG